ACGGAAACUCCGCCUGUGGGUCUUCUUGAGUUACUGCUGGUCUCAAGCCCAGGUAAAGGAGGAGGGUUGG
ncrna:Schistosoma mansoni type-P1 twister ribozyme